rnacentral:rRNA from 1 species
UACGGAGGGUGCAAGCGUUAUCCGGAUUCACUGGGUUUAAAGGGUGCGUAGGCGGGUAGGUAAGUCAGUGGUGAAAUCCUAGAGCUUAACUCUAGAACUGCCAUUGAUACUAUCUAUCUUGAAUAUUGUGGAGGUAAGCGGAAUAUGUCAUGUAGCGGUGAAAUGCUUAGAUAUGACAUAGAACACCUAUUGCGAAGGCAGCUUACUACGCAUAUAUUGACGCUGAGGCACGAAAGCGUGGGGAUCAAACAGGAUUAGAUACCCUGGUAGUCCACGCCCUAAACUAUGGAUACUCGACAUUUGUGAUACACAAUAAGUGUCUGAGCGAAAGCAUUAAGUAUCCCACCUGGGAAGUACGUCCGCAAGGAUG